rnacentral:sRNA from 1 species
GCACUUAGCAGAUAUGCAAAUCCGCCCUCAAAAGAACAACAACAACAACGUAAAUACAUCCGCAAUAUCUCGAUAUAACCCCCGGGGACAUACAAUAUGGCAUACCCUUAUUUGCCUCCGUGAUAAAAAUACAUGAGCAAAUAGAAGGCAAAAAGAAACCAGUAAAAUAAACCAAUACAGAAGCAAAACAUAACAUCGAGCACGAACUAAGCUGGGCUGGUUGUUUCAAUUAUUGAAACAAUUGCUGAAUGGUUAGAGCUUUAGAGUAGACGGCAGAGGAGAGUUCCACAGCGCAGAAAGCCAACAGGGAGCCGGACCGCUGGGAGCUUCACAUAUACAUAUUCCUUACUGGGCUGAAGCAGGAUCAAUGCCUGCAAGUCCAUCCGGCUCUCAAACCACGAGUUCCCGGCAAUGCCAGUUAUUAACCCAUGAAAAGUGGCGUAAUAUAAUCCAAUGUAGGACUGCAAAUCGUGAAAUAAGAUCUGAAAAGGAAGAAAAGUGAAAACCUGGACUGAUAAAUCCUGGCAGAGUAAAUGGAAGAAUGGAAAUGACGGAAUCCAUUAAUUUCCCCGUAGUCAUCCAGAGACUUGGGGUUCGCAUUCCUCCGGGUCUGGCUAAGCAGGCUUGCAGAAUGUGUUUUUCAGUCACUACACCCAUCAGAGGCAGGCUUCUUACCUAGCCUUAUGGACUCCUGCGAAUCUUUUUGGCUUUUUCUCUUGCAUUGCAGGACUUGAAGGAUCGGACCUGGAGGGUCCUUGGGGUCUUUUAACUUUUCUUGUAGGCAGUUUUCGUAAGUUAUAUUCGCGCACGAACAUUUUUUUCUCCCUUCGCGGAGGUUUGAGUGUUGGGCUCUCGAGACAGAAGUCCGAGGCUUCAUGUUUCUUGAAAAUUUUCUGCUCAGCCGGGUGGCAAGGCGAUGGAGAUAAGAGCAGGUCAGGCAAAAAUUCAUUGGAAUCUACCAGCUCAUCAAAUUCAGACUGAGAUAACUCUGGGGG